ACGGCAAGAGAUUGGAGACACCGCCAUGGCUGCAAAUAUCGGUUGCAAGACGUCACCGUCCGGGUUGCCCCGCCAAGAUACGGGUCCAAUUGUUCUUUUCCCUCGCCAAUUUGCUCAGAGACAGAAGAAAAAAUUAUCAUCACAGCCUCAGAUUUUUCAUACAAUUAUUAUUAGUAGUAGUAGUAGUAGUACUAUCGAUUCUCUUUUUGGGAGUGAGUAUUUGGAGGUACAGUAGAGGGGUCGUUUGGACAUAGUUUACUGCAGAAGGGCAUCUUUGGCAAAAAUGAAAUCACAGGAAUUAGCAGAGAGGAGCAGCUGCCCUUGAACUUUCCUCUACUCUCUGCAACCCUCAUUCUCUGUCUCUGAGCUUUUGGUCUGAUGCUAAAGCUAAUACUUAGAAGCAAAAAGUAGUUGAAAUUUAAAGAAGAAGAAGAUAUAGAUCUAUUUCACAGUGCUUAAGAGGCUCAGAUCUGCAAAGAGAGAUCGGGCACAAGAGAGGCGACCGCGCCAUGGCUGCAAAAUAACCGAUUGCAUGCAAAGAAAAAACCUUCGAAUCGCCGGCCGUCCGGUGAUUUGCCAGGCCAAGAUACGGGUCGGAUAGUCUUUAUGCCCGAUCCAGUUAGCCCAGAAUCCGGAUAAAAUGUCAUCACUGCCUCAAUUGUUAUGUAUCAAAAAAGAGGAACUAAAAUCACAGAAACAGAAAUCUGGCUGUUGUUGUUGAUUGAUGCUCAAGAAAUGACUGUAUAGUAGUACGUAUUUCCAGGAAUUCAAGGGCUGUUGAUUUUUUUUAAAGUGGAAAAAGGAAAAUCAUUGGCUUAACAGAGAGGGCAACCACCCUUUGAACAAAAACCCCCAAACUCUCUAUUUUUGCCUCAUUUUUUUCUGGGCUAACUUUCUUUGCUGGGAUU
rnacentral:lncRNA from 1 species